UUCUCUCUUCAUUGUUUCUUCUCUCGUUUGCAAACAACUAAAAACCCAAGCUUUCUGGAACAAAGAUUAAUCCAAGGAAAAAAAUCCCACCAUGACUAAAUGAUAUUACUAGUGAAACUUUGAAACCUUUAAUUUCGAGAUUCCUCUCAAUUGAAUCAGUAUGAAAAAAAAAAUCGAUUUAGAAAUUAAUGUAAGGGGAAAUCUUCUUGGGUUUAAAUCAGCUACAAUCGAUUUAGAACUGUCAUUUAGAAGAUUUCUCCGUACAUUUUUUCAAUGUUUCGUGAUGUUAGUUUGCUACAAUCUAGGGAUUUAUCUGUAUUCUGUUUGUUUGUUUUUUUUCAAUUUGGGAUUUAGGGGUUUCCUGAUGAGGAUGAUGUAAAAUUCAUUAGAAGUUCAAUUUGUAGAAACUUCAAGGGAUUAUGAUUGAGUCAAGAUGGAAGUUAUAUCAUGAAGAAAAAAAAAGUAAAACAUCUUGCCGGUGCAGAAGUUAAUUAAGAUAGAAACAACGAUUUCGAUUAUUCCAGCUUCCGCAUCUGAAAUUCAAGUGUUGCUUUCAGAAACAAUCUAAUGAAAAGAUGAGGUAAUGAAGAUGGUGGUUUGUGAAUUAUUUUGAUUGUUCUUUCUAGGUAAUGGAAAUGCUGGUGCUAGUGAAUCGUUGUAGUAUGGAGCGGUAUUCUAAAGAUGGUGGUAGUGGUGAUUUGUAGUAGUAUCGGGGAUGGUAAUGGAGACGUGGGGAUAGAGUACUGGACGUGAUUAAGUAAAACUACAGAGGAAUGCCCAUAAAUCCGCGACUCGGAUCGUGCUCGAACAACAUCCGAAACUACUUUUACUGCAGGACAACUAAAGCAGUUAGCAAAUGAGCUACAACAGGUUAAAUGAAAUUGCUGCAGCUUUGGCUUAUCUCGAAACAGAGCUGGCUUCAAAGGCACCAAAACUAUUCAGUGUACCACAGAUCGUGAAUCCUGUCAAGAUCUUGGCGAUUUUCAUGGGCAAUUUGGGGGCCUUAUGCGUCUCUUUGAUAAAUAUGGGUCUCCUUCAACUGCAGGAGAUAUGGCUUAUAUCGACUACCUCUUCUUAGGGGAAUAUGUUGACCUAGGCCAACUCAGCUUGGAAAUGAUUAGUGUUUUGCUUGCAUUGAAGGUCAAGUAUCCACAAGAUGUACAUAUGGUUCGUGGAAACCCCGAGGCAGCAGAUAUUGAUGCUCUGUUUGGAUUCACGAUCGAGUGCACUGAACGGAUAGUACUUUUCACAAUCUCAUUGGCUUUCUAGUUUCUUCUCUAAUUUGUUUGUCAAAUGAUUCACUUACUACAUGUGUGCUAACAGGGAGAAAGGGAUGUUAUUUGGGCUUGGCACAAAACAAAAAGGUUGUUUAAUUGGCUUCCUUUGGCAGCUCGAAUUGAAAAGAAAAUCAUUUCCAUUGCAUGGUGGCAUUUGUCGCUCUAUAUAUCUACUAGUUAUGUUCUUAAGUGUCUCUUCUAGUAGAUUCCAUAUUUGUUAUGUUUACUUUCGUUUUAAUUUCAUUUUCUACAAUUGGUUAUCUUUCCAAGGGCACGAGAAAUGGGGAUACACGUAUGUGAAUGAACUUGCCCAGCACCUUAUAAUUCAACUGGUGGAGAUCAUGUAGCUCCCCUGCGCACAUGUGAGUUUUCAUAUGCAUCUUAAAUGCGUUGUAUAGUCAGAACCUUGAAAAUUAGGUACUUAUUUGGGUCAUAUAGCAUACUGAAUCUUGUACUAUAAUCUGCACGUCUUAUAUUCCACAAUAUCUAACCUGUUGGCUGUUGAUGAUUUCUAAUUUGUUAUGCAUAAUCUUGGAUAUCUUUAAUGAACACUCUGAUGCAAUCUGAUUUUUAAUUUCUUAUGAUUACUAGUUUAGCUUGUGCAAGUAUCUUCUUUUUCCCCAGUAUCUGCCUUCGAUUGCCCCGAAGCUUCCGUUUUGUUGCAAUCUUCUCCUGUCGUAGUUAUGGUUGUGCGAUAACUUUCCUGUAGUUUGUGGCCAAUACUGCAUGUAUAUAUAGACAUCUUCCCCCCAGCUAAUAUUAUUAGUUAAGUUACAUUUGUGAUGUGCGCUGCUAGAUUACCUACAACUAAGGUUUGAUUUUUCAAAUUUACCUCACACGUGACCUCGUUUAGGUUAUGGUUAUGGUUGUAGUUUAUAAUUAUGGUUGAAUCACAGAGAAUUUGUAUGUAUGCAAAUAAUGCAGGAAAUGAGUUUUUAGCACUGUUAAUGAUGAGGUUAUUGAAUCUGGUGGUAGUAGUUCAGGGAAAUUGAGAUUGUUGGUGACGAUUGAAAUGAGAUUGCAGCUAUUGGUGGAUUGGAAAGAAGUCGCAUGUGAACCAAGGAUACAACACAUUGAUGCUCUGCUUGAUAUCAUUUGUGAAGUAUUGUUGUAGGAGGAGCUGAAUUAUCAUUUUGUUUUUUUUAUCAGUUGGUUGUUGUCAGAACUUAGCAAUCUUGGACAUGUAUUCUCUGAACUCAAUAUUUCUUUUUUUUUUGUGUAGUUUUACACCCAAUGGAAUGAAUGUUAAAAUUCUCAGUUAAAUUUGAAGUUGCACUUGAAUUUCAGUUAAA